GACGAACGCUGGCGGCGUGCUUAACACAUGCAAGUCGAACGGAAAGGCCCUGCUUUUGUGGGGUGCUCGAGUGGCGAACGGGUGAGUAACACGUGAGUAACCUGCCCUUGACUUUGGGAUAACUUCAGGAAACUGGGGCUAAUACCGGAUAGGAGCUCCUGCUGCAUGGUGGGGGUUGGAAAGUUUCGGCGGUUGGGGAUGGACUGGCGGCGUAUCAGCUUGUUGGGGGGGUAGUGGCUUACCAAGGCUUUGCAGGGUAGCCGGCCUGAGAGGGUGACCGGCCACGUUGGGACGGAGAUACGGCCCAGACUCGUACGGGAGGCAGCAGUGGGGAAUAGUGUACAAUGGGCGGAAGCCUGAUGCAGCAACGCCGCGUGCGGGAUGACGGCCUUCGGGUUGUAUACCGCUUUCGCCUGUGACGAAGCGUGAGUGACGGUAAUGGGUAAAGAAGCACCGGCUAACUACGUG
rnacentral:rRNA from 1 species